ensembl:lncRNA
GAAUUCCUGGUUUUCAUGGUAACACUGCAAUUCUGCUGGGUGGACCAAAGCAGGCGGCUGUUUGUAGUCACUGGCACAUCAUGUCCAUUCUGCUCUCCCUCAUGUCCUAAAAAGUGGCUGCAUUCGGCCUGUCCAUUGUUCCUGAAGAGAUGUUGUGCCAUGUCACAGCCAGCCAGGAGCAUUGCGAUGCUGGCAGAAGCAGUGGCUUCUACUUUAUUUAGAACUGAUAACAUCUGGACAUUGUAUUUCUUCUUGCAGAGAAAGCAUCUUGUGAGAGCACAAAUUUCAGUCAAAAGGUCAUCAGUGCUAGUACUGGACAAGACAUUCACUUUCCAAAUGACAGGGAUCCACGUCUCUCAGCUUUGGAGAUAAUGCAGGUGGGAAGUCCAUGUAUCAAGCAGCAAUGAAUUUCAUACACGUUGACUCAUCCUGAAGGAAUUCCUCCCAACUGCCAGUGACAUAAUAUUAUAACAGACUGCUGUUACUAUCAUCUUCAAGAAAAUGUAUUUAAGUAUUCAAAAACAUAUCAAGGAAAAAGUGUAUAAUUAACUUUUCAAACUAUUGAGCACAUAUAUGUAAACCACUAACAGGUUUUUAUGUUGUCUAUGCCCAUCUGAACAUAAUAUUAGUAGGUUCAGAAUUUGGUUACUGCAGUAAUUAUCCAGUAACAUAGCUCAAAUGAUGAGGGUAUUAAAGAAAAAUAUGCUUAGGAAGGUGUUAAAAUGUAGUUCAAAAGUUUUUCAACCAGAAUAUCCAGAUUCUUGCACCUGAGAUUAUGUUUAGCCAAGAAACUCUCAGUACCAUUCAUGUUCCAUUUUCAGUAGCCACUGGAAUAAGAGGAAGGUCAAAAUAUUGGAGAGAAGCUAAUGCUAUACCAUUGCUUUUAAGGGAUAAAUGAAACAAUAAAUUUGUCUUACUGUCAGCCUAGUAUUGAUCU